UGACACUGACUACACCCGGAGAUCCACAUCAUUUACUGAUCUGACUUUGGUCAACUUUGUUCUCUUUGUGAGUCAUUUUGGGCUCUAACAGUCACUCUAUUGAAAGGAUGAGGGGCCUUGCAAUUUUUCUGGGAUUGGCCCUAGUCAUUCUCCUGGCUGAACCCGGAGAGAGUAGAUUUCCACCAAGACUUAUUCCACACUGGAUGUGGAGCAAGUUUGAUAACCAAGCCGGAGGGAAUAAAAUGGGAGUUGGCAUGAUACCAGGUCCAGGGGCGGGGCUUCUGCAGGGGCGGUACUUCCCUGGCCCGGGGCCCAAUGGGGCCCGCCGCUGAGGCAGCAGGCCCAGAUUUAUUUUAUUUUUAUUUUUUGUGACACCACUUGGUUCAUAUUAGGUAUAAAGAAUUGUAUAAUAUGUUGUGCUGAGAUUUUCACACUCUCUGUUAACAUUAAAACAAAAAUUGCAAGUGAA